UACAGAGGUCCCAAGCGUUGUUCGGAUUCAUUGGGCGUAAAGGGUGCGUAGGCGGCGCGGUAAGUCGGGUGUGAAAUCUCGGGGCUUAACUCCGAAACUGCAUUCGAUACUGCCGUGCUUGAGGACUGGAGAGGAGACUGGAAUUUACGGUGUAGCGGUGAAAUGCGUAGAUAUCGAGAGGAACACCGGCGGCGAAAGCGGCGCACUGGACCUUUUCUGACGCUGAGGCGCGAAAGCCAGGGGAGCAAACGGG
rnacentral:rRNA from 1 species